CUCAAGAUGGAAGCAGUUUCUG
rnacentral:miRNA from 1 species